CCUACGGGAGGCAGCAGUGGGGAAUAUUGCGCAAUGGGCGAAAGCCUGACGCAGCGACGCCGCGUGAGGGAUGAAGGUCUUCGGAUCGUAAACCUCUGUCAGCAGGGAAGAACGGUCACUGUGCUAAUCAGCAGUGAAUUGACGGUACCUGCAAAGGAAGCACCGGCUAACUCCGUGCCAGCAGCCGCGGUAAUACGGAGGGUGCGAGCGUUAAUCGGAAUUACGGGGCGAAAAGCGCUCGUAGGCGGUUUGUCAAGUCAAGGGUGAAAUCCCGGCGCUCAACGUGGGAACUGCCUGAGAAACGGGCAAACUAGAGUGUGAGAGGAUAGUGGAAUUCAAGGUGUAGGAGUGAAAUGCGUAGAUAUCUGGAGGAACAUCAGUGGCGAAGGCGACUAUCUGGCACAUAACUGACGCUGAGGAGCGAAAGCGUGGGUAGCAAACAGGAUUAGAUACCCUAGUAGUC
rnacentral:rRNA from 1 species